UUCCCGGUUCCCGUCCCAGCCCCGUUUCUUCGGCCAAUCGCUGAGCGGGGGGCGGGACCUGAGUGGGGACGACCUCCCCGACCUGGCCGUGGGCGCGCAGGGACAGGUGCUGCUGCUCAGGUCGCCGCCGCUGCUCGGGGUCAGGCUCCAGGUGACCUUUGACCCCCAGGUGAUCCCGGCCCGGGAGUGCCCGGAGGGGGCGGAGCUUCGGGACCGGCUGGGCGUGGCCCGGCUCUGCUUCCGGGGUCAGCAAGGACACGCCCGACUCCUUCGGUUCCUCGGUUUCGGCCUCGCUGUGGUUCCGGGCCGAGCUGGAUCCCGGCCGCGCUCGCGUCCGCGCCGAUUUUGGGGCCGAAAACGCCAAAAAUGGGACCCUGAGGGUGGGGGUGGGGCAGCACUGCCAGGACCUGGAGAUUUUCUACAAGGGCUGCCCCCAGGACACGCUGACCCCCCUGGCCCUGAGGGUGACCCUGGGCGGCCUCGGGGACCCCUUGGGUGAGGCCGGGGGGCUCCGGCCACAGCUCGGCCCCGCCUCGGACACCGCGGUGACG